CCUACGGGAGGCAGCAGUGAGGAAUAUUGGUCAAUGGGCGAGAGCCUGAACCAGCCAAGUCGCGUGAAGGAUGACGGCCCUACGGGUUGUAAACUUCUUUUUUCAGGGCGCAAUUGGGUCCACGCGUGGGCUUAUCGAGAGUACCUGAAGACAAAGCAUCGGCUAACUCGGUGCCAGCAGCCGUGGUAAUACGGAGGAUGCGGGUGUUAUCCGGAUUUAUUGGGGUUAAAGGGUGCGUAGGCGGAAGAUCAAGUCAGCGGUAAAAAUUCGGGGCUCAACCCCGUCGUGCCGUUGAAACUGAUGUUGUUGAGUAGGCGAGAAGGAGGCGGAAUGCGUGGUGUAGCGGUGAAAUGCAUAGAUAUCACGAAGAACUC
rnacentral:rRNA from 1 species